rnacentral:rRNA from 1 species
CGGAGGGUGCAAGCGUUAUCCGGAUUCACUGGGUUUAAAGGGUGCGUAGGUGGGUUGGUAAGUCAGUGGUGAAAUCUCCGAGCUUAACUUGGAAACUGCCAUUGAUACUAUCAAUCUUGAAUACCGUGGAGGUCAGCGGAAUAUGUCAUGUAGCGGUGAAAUGCUUAGAUAUGACAUAGAACACCAAUUGCGAAGGCAGCUGGCUACACGAAUAUUGACACUGAGGCACGAAAGCGUGGGGAUCAAACAGGAUUAGAUACCCUGGUAGUCCACGCCCUAAACUAUGGAUACUCGACACUUGCGAUACACUGCAAGUGUCUGAGCGAAAGCAUUAAGUAUCCCACCUGGGAAGUACGAUCGCAAGAUUG